GAGUCCUUAUUUGAAGUAAUUGGCGGGAAAACAUACCUAAAAAAAGAACAUGAGAUCCGUGGCACUUGGGAGGAAACCAAUUUCGGCUUUUAUUUCUUUGGAGAGAAAUUGGUUAACUGGAAGGAAAAUUGGAUGACCUGUUGCAGUCUGGGCCUCAAACCUUUAGCCCUGACUAAAGCUCUAUUCGACCAUAAUGAUGAAAAUCCAAAUAUCCGUAAAACUCUAAAUGUGACAAAAAUAGCACAUAGGUUUAAUUUUGAAAGUGUUAAUCACAUCCAGAGG